rnacentral:rRNA from 1 species
AACGUAGGAGACAAACGUUAUCCGGAGUUACUGGGCGUAAAGGGCGUGUAGGUGGUUUCGUAAGUCUGGCGUGAAAUUUCUCGGCUUAACCGAGGCAGGUCGUCGGAUACUGCGGAACUUGAGGACGGUAGAGGCGUGUGGAAUCCGGGUGUAGUGGUGAAAUGCGUAGAGAUCCGGAGGAACACCAGUGGCGAAGGCGACACGCUGGGCCGUACCUGACACUGAUGCGCGACAGCAUGGGGAGCAAACGAGG